GAUGAAGAACGCGGCGAAAUGCGAUAAGUAAUGUGAAUUGCAGAAUUCAGUGAAUCAUCGAAUCUUUGAACGCACAUUGCGCCCGCCAGUAUUCUGGCGGGCAUGCCUGUUCGAGCGUCAUUUCAACCAUCAAGCCCCCCGGCUUGUGUUGGGGACCUGCGGCUGCCGCAGGCCCUGAAAAGCAGUGGCGGGCUCGCUGUCACACCGAGCGUAGUAGAUCUCAUCUCGCUCAGGGCGUGCUGCGGGUUCCGGCCGUUAAACCACCUUCAUAACCCAAGGUUGACCUCGGAUCAGGUAGGAAGACCCGCUGAACUUAAGCAUAUCAAUAAGCGGAGGA
rnacentral:misc_RNA from 1 species